UACGUAGGUGGCAAGCGUUGUCCGGAAUUAUUGGGCGUAAAGCGCGCGCAGGCGGUCCUUUAAGUCUGAUGUGAAAGCCCCCGGCUCAACCGGGGAAUUGCGCCCCAAACUGGACGGCUGGAGUGAGGCAGGGGUGUGUGGAACUUCCGGUGGAGCGGUGAAAUGUGUUGAUAUCGGAAGGAACGCCGGUGGCGAAAGCGACACACUGGGUCUCAACUGACGCUGAGGCACGAAAGCCAGGGGAGCAAACGGG
rnacentral:rRNA from 1 species